rnacentral:rRNA from 1 species
UACGUAGGGUGCGAGCGUUGUCCGGAAUUAUUGGGCGUAAAGGGCUCGUAGGCGGUCUGUUGCGUCAGGAGUGAAAACUCGGGGCUUAACCCCGAGCCUGCUUCUGAUACGGGCAGACUAGAGGUAUGCAGGGGAGAACGGAAUUCCUGGUGUAGCGGUGAAAUGCGCAGAUAUCAGGAGGAACACCCAUGGCGAAGGCAGCUAACUGGGCAUUAUCUGACGCUGAGGCGCGAAAGCGUGGGUAGCAAACAGG